AUGGAGUUUUUGUGAUUCUCCUGCCUCAGCCUCACAAGUAGCUGGGAUUACAGGAAUGCACCACCACACCUGGCUAAUUUUUGUAUUUUUAGUAGAGAUGGGUUUCUUCAUGUCGGUCAGGCUGGUCUUGAACUCCCGACCUCAGGUGAUCCACCCACCUCUGCCUCCCAAAGUGCUGGGAUUACAGGCAUGAGCCACCACGCCUGGCCUAUUUAUCUUUUGAGAUGGAAUUUCACUCUUGUUGCCCAGGCUGGAGUGCAAUGGCAUGAUCUUGGCUCACUGCAACCUCCGCCUCCCGGGUUCAUGCGAUUCUCCUGCCUCAGUCUCCCUAGUAGCUGGGAUUACAGGAAUGCACCACCACGCCUGGCUAAUUUUUGUAUUUUUAGUAGAGAUGGGGUUUCUUCAUGUUGGUCAGGCUGGUCUCAAACUCCCAACCUCAGGUGAUCCGCCCGCCUCAGCCUCCCAAAGUGUUGGGAUUACAGGUGUGAGCCACUGCUCCCAGCCUCUAUCAUUAUUUUUUAAGACCUGAGUUAUUAUUUCUGUAAUUAUGGAUUCAUGCAAAGCCUCUCAUUUUUUUUUUAAUUUAUCUAUUUGUAUGCAUCCAAAUAAAACAGGCAUCAUUAUUCUUUGUAAACUUAUUUUUAAUCUACACAAAUGAAAUUGUGUUAAAGAUCUUAUUCACCUUUUUAUUUUUUUUUCAAUCAGCUCAAGCUUAUUAAUUACAUUUUUCAGGCCAGGCCCAGUAGUAGCUCAUGCUCAGUAGCUCACACCUAUAAUCCCAACACUCUGGGAGGCUGAGGUGGGAGGAUCAUUCAGCCCAGGAUUUCAAGAUGAGCCUGGGGAACAUAGGGACACCUCCGUUACUACAAUUAAAAAAAAAAAAAAAAAAAAGGCAUGUACUUGUAGUCUCAGCUAUUUGGGAAGCUGAGGCUGGUGGAUUGCUUGAGCCCAGCAGUUCAAGGCUGCAGUGAGCUAUGAUCACACCUGUGACUAGCCCACUACAUUCCAGCCUGGGCAACAUAGUGAGACCCUGUCUCUUAAAAAAUAAAAUAAAAUAUCCAACUAUAAUUGUUAAUUCAUCUAUUUCUAUCAUUCUUCAUUUAAUAUGUAUUUGAAGCUGAUUUAUUGUUUAUAUGUACAUGGUGGUUAUACCAUCUUGUAUUUAUUAACAUAGACUAUCCUGUACUAACUCUUAUGCUAUUUUUUACUUAACUUCCAUUUUGUCAGAUACUAAGAUUGCUCCCAGGCCAGCCACUGCGCCCGGCCACUUAACUUCUUAUGAUUGCCUAGUAUGUAUCUGUUUUUAUCUUUCUAUUUCUAACUUCUCUUUCUGUUUUAAAUGCGUCUUUUAUGUAAACAUCUUUCUUUGAAUUCGACGUAGGCAUCUCUGUUUUUAAUUAGUAACUGUGAUGAUUAAUUUUAUGUGCCAGUUGACUUGGACAUAGGGUAUUUAGAUAUUUGAUCAAACAUCAUCCUGGGUGUAUCUGUGAGGAUGUUUCUGGUUGAGAUUUACGUUUGAAUUGGUAGACUGGGUAAAGCCAAUUACCCUCCCCAGUAUGGGUGAGUCUCAUCCAAUCAGUUGAUGGCCUGAAUAGAACAAAAAGUCUGAGUAAGAGGAAUGCCUGCCAUCUGAUUGCCUUAUCAAGGGCAUCAUGGGUCUGGCUUACGCAGGAAAGACAGCUCAUAAUUGCAACCUAUUGAUCCAUGCUAAAAGAAAAGAUUUCGCUCUACAUUUAAAGACUGGUGUUUAUAUGUUAUACAUGCUUUUAUGUUUUGAGUUAAAAUAAAAUGUAUCUGGUAUAUCUAUGUGUCUUUUAUUUUUUUUUCCCCAAAAACUCCAUGCUGUAAGCAAGUCUUUUGAUUAACAGGCAAACUAUCCAUCUUGAUUGCCUCUGGAAAGAGAGCUUUUCCCGUAAAAUAGAGAAUCAUCAAAUGCUUUUCAAAAGCUCUAAACCCCUCUUGUCCCAGGCUUGCGCAGUGGGGUCUUUCACUUUGUGCACUCAGUGGAAAGGUGCCUAUUGUGG
rnacentral:lncRNA from 1 species